GGCCUAUGGGGCGCAGCAGGCGCGAAACCUCUGCAAUAGGCGAAAGCUUGACAGGGUUACUCUGAGUGAUUUCCGUUAAGGAGAUCUUUUGGCACCUCUAAAAAUGGUGCAGAAUAAGGGGUGGGCAAGUCUGGUGUCAGCCGCCGCGGUAAUACCAGCACCCCGAGUGGUCGGGACGUUUAUUGGGCCUAAAGCAUCCGUAGCCGGUUCUACAAGUCUUCCGUUAAAUCCACCUGCUUAACAGAUGGGCUGCGGAAGAUACUAUAGAGCUAGGAGGCGGGAGAGGCAAGCGGUACUCGAUGGGUAGGGGUAAAAUCCGUUGAUCCAUUGAAGACCACCAGUGGCGAAGGCGGCUUGCCAGAACGCGCUCGACGGUGAGGGAUGAAAGCUGGGGGAGCAAACCGGAUUAGAUACCCGGGUAGUCCCAGCUGUAAACGAUGCAGACUCGGUGAUGAGUUGGCUUAUUGCUAACUCAGUGCCGCAGGGAAGCCGUUAAGUUUGCCGCCUGGGGGGUACGGUCGCAAGACUGAAACUUAAAGGAAU
rnacentral:rRNA from 1 species